AAGAGGCAUUUGCUAGUAAAGUGGUGCAGAAAAUGGCGAGGAAGAGCAAAAUGAAAAUGGGACGUAGAAUUUAGCAACAUCAAGUUGAUCACUUGGCGGUCUAAAGAAUGGAUGCGAGAGAUGAUAAGAGAGCUUAGAGACAUUAUGCAUGGACAAAUGAAAUUAGGAAACGGAAGCAUAAGAAGCAUUGGUUUCUGGAUCAAGUGCCAAAUCUAGACUGUUUCCAACACACAAAUCUACGGAAGACAUAUUGCUAAAAUGAUGCAAAUCUUAUGAUUUCAAGUUAGUGGAUAAUACUCAAAACAUUUAUUCCAUAUAUGUAAAUUUAGUAGACCUAUCUAUGUUCAAUAUUUAGACAGACAUGCAUGCAGGGUUAAUGUUACUCUAGUAUGUUUCCAUUUCAAGAACUUCAUAUGCCCUCUCCUUAGCUAUGAAGGACUCUUUUUUUUGUUGUGAAAGUUGCCAUUUCAAAUCCAAUUAUCCAAACCCUCUAAUGUUAGAGAAGUGACACAUGCCUCCCUUUUAAAGAUUAACCCUUUGAGUCAUAUACAUGGUAGACCGUUUGCGACUA